UACGGAGGGUGCAAGCGUUAUCCGGAUUCACUGGGUUUAAAGGGUGCGUAGGUGGAUUGGUAAGUCAGUGGUGAAAUCUCCGGGCUUAACUCGGAAACUGCCAUUGAUACUAUCAGUCUUGAAUACCGUGGAGGCCAGUAGAAUAUGUCAUGUAGCGGUGAAAUGCUUAGAUAUGACAUAGAAUACCAAUCGCGAAGGCAGCUGGCUACGCGAAUAUUGACACUCAGGCACGAAAGCGUGGGGAUCAAACAGG
rnacentral:rRNA from 1 species